UACGUAGGGGGCAAGCGUUGUCCGGAUUUAUUGGGCGUAAAGCGCACGCAGGCGGUCUGCCAAGUUCGGAGUGACAGUUUCCGGCUUAACCGGAAAAGGUCUUCGAAGACUGGUGGACUUGAGGACUUGAGGGGGAGACGGAAUUCCGGGUGGAGCGGUGAAAUGCGUAGAGAUCCGGAGGAACGCCAGAGACGAAGGUGGCUACCUGGCCCUGACCUGACACUGAGGCGCGAAAGCGUGGGGAGCGAAUGGG
rnacentral:rRNA from 1 species